rnacentral:snRNA from 1 species
UUACUUUGGUAGCAGAUAUACUAAAAUUGGAAUGAUAUAGAGAUUAGCAUCACGCCUGCACAAGGAUGACAUACAAAUUUGUGAAAUGUACCAUGUUUUU